rnacentral:rRNA from 1 species
UACGAAGGGGGCUAGCGUUGCUCGGAAUUACUGGGCGUAAAGCGCACGUAGGCGGCUUUUUAAGUCGGAGGUGAAAUCCUGGAGCUCAACUCCAGAACUGCCUUCGAUACUGAAGAGCUCGAGUCCGGGAGAGGUGAGUGGAACUGCGAGUGUAGAGGUGAAAUUCGUAGAUAUUCGCAAGAACCCCAGUGGCGAAGGCGGCUCACUGGCCCGAUACUGACGCUGAGGCACGAAAGCGUGGGGAGCAAACAGG